rnacentral:rRNA from 1 species
GGUCCUAAACUUGCCGCUGUUUUUAAUUAAAAUUACACAUGCUAGCAUCCGCACACCAGUGAAUAAGCCCUAAAGUAAUAACGGAGCAGGUAUCAGGCACGACCUUCAGCCCAAAACACCUAGCCACGCCACACCCCCACGGGAACUCAGCAGUGAUAAACAUUAGGCCAUGAGUAAACACCCAAUAAAGCUCGACCUAGUUAUAAUGAUCAGGGCCGGCCAAUCUCGUGCCAGCCGCCGCGGUUAUACGAGAGGCCCAAACCAGCACCCAACGGCGUAAAUUGUGACUAGAAUAACUAAGCUACCCAUAAAGGGAAAAACCAAAACCUAACCGUAAAAUUAAGGUAAAAUGAAUCCCCUUUACCCACAGCAAUUUGAACUCACGAAAGCUAAGAAACAAACUAGGAUUAGAUACCCUACUAUGCUUAGACAUAAACAAGACCCCAUUCAACGAAAAGUCCGCCCGAGAACUACAAGCGAAAAGCUUGAAACUCAAAAGACUUGGCGGUGCCCCACACCCGACUUAGAGGAGCCUGUCCUAUAAUCGAUGAUCCACGAUAAACCCAACCGCCCUUUGCCCCACCAGCCUAUAUACCGCCGUCGCAAAUCUACCUCACAAGAGAAAAAACGUAGGUUAAAUAGUCCAACACUAAAACGUCAGGUCAAGGUGUAGCUAAUAGGACGGAAGAGAUGGGCUACAUUCUUUAACACUAAAGAACACAGAAAGAACUAUGA